GGAUAUUUAGUCCAAUGCCUAGGACACUUGAUUUCGGCUCAAGAGAUUGAAGAUAAAACCCUCAACUAUCCU
rnacentral:tRNA from 1 species